rnacentral:lncRNA from 1 species
UUCCAAAGUUUUUCCAUGUUGCUAUAUGGAAGGCGAAGUUCAACAAGAUUCCAUGGAGAAAAAUUUGAUGGUAGAGAAUUUAAUGGAUAUGCACUCCAUCCAAAACUUCUCAAGUUGUUAGGCAAAACAUGAAGCCCCCUUGGAAGAUGCGCAAAAUUCAUUCCCUUAACAUCUCGAUUGUGGCCUUCAAAAGCAAGUAAUCUUAGGUUUGGCAUCUUCGUGAAUGCUUUAAAGCUCAAAUUUAUGCAGGU